AUUGAACGCUGGCGGCAGGCUUAACACAUGCAAGUCAAGCGGAGCGAGGGUGCUUGCACCUUAGCUUAGCGGCGGACGGGUGAGUAAUGCUUAGGAAUCUGCCUAUUAGUGGGGGACAACAUUCCGAAAGGAAUGCUAAUACCGCAUACGCCCUACGGGGGAAAGCAGGGGAUCUUCGGACCUUGCGCUAAUAGAUGAGCCUAAGUCGGAUUAGCUAGUUGGUGGGGUAAAGGCCCACCAAGGCGACGAUCUGUAGCGGGUCUGAGAGGAUGAUCCGCCACACUGGGACUGAGACACGGCCCAGACUCCUACGGGAGGCAGCAGUGGGGAAUAUUGGACAAUGGGCGGAAGCCUGAUCCAGCCAUGCCGCGUGUGUGAAGAAGGCCUUUUGGUUGUAAAGCACUUUAAGCGAGGAGGAGGCUCUUAAGGUUAAUACCCUUGAUGAGUGGACGUUACUCGCAGAAUAAGCACCGGCUAACUCUGUGCCAGCAGCCGCAGUAAAAC
rnacentral:rRNA from 1 species